UGGGGAAUAUUGCACAAUGGGGGAAACCCUGAUGCAGCGACGCCGCGUGAACGAAGAAGGUAUUCGUAUCUUAAAGUUCCGUCCUAUGGGAAGAUAAUGACAGUACCAUAGAAGAAAGCUCCGGCUAAAUACGUGCCAGCAGCCGCGGUAAUACGUAUGGAGCGAGCGUUGUCCGGAAUUAUUGGGCGUAAAGGGUACGCAGGCGGUUUAAUAAGUCGAAUGUUAAAGAUCAGGGCUCAACCCCGCAAAGCAUUGGAAACUGAUAAACUUGAGUAGUGGAGAGGAAAGUGGAAUUCCUAGUGUAGUGGUGAAAUACGUAGAUAUUAGGAGGAAUACCAGUAGCGAAGGCGACUUUCUGGACACAAACUGACGCUGAGGUACGAAAGCGUGGGGAGCAAACAGG
rnacentral:rRNA from 1 species